AUUUUUCCAAACAACGAACGGCACAAUUUCUUUGCAUUAUUUUGUCAAAAGCAUCGUUAAAUGAAUGGUCAUACAUUAACAGAUGUUUAAUUCUCAACAAAACUCAAUGCUGUGCUGCUAUAGGGCAACAGGAUCAGCCAACGUUAUCCACAAUUAAACAGCAAUGGCCAGUUAGCACUCCUAACAUCACUGGACACUUCUACUGUGGGCUUGCUUAUGAUGUUACAGAGCUCAAGAGCAAAUGGAGAAUCUACUAGAACAACAGGAUCUACAGACCACAGACUUAACAGCGCACAGGAGAGACUCUGUUCUUCUGACUCUUCCCUUCUACCUAAGAGAGCUGCCCUCAAUUUCAAAAACAUCCUGCUAAUUUGAUUUCCUCAUUUUGUGGUGCAUCAGCUUGGCAUUUUAUGGGGAGGGGGGUUAACUUGCAUUAUCACGCAGAACUUGAUAUCUUCUUACAGUGUAUGUGAUACUCCAGACAAUGAAGUGUCUCAUUGUAUUUCAUAUCUUUUGUAGAAUUCUGCAAGGAACAUUACGAUGGGAAUUUUAGAGUUGGUCAGGAAUGGCGUCCCUCCAAGACUGCUGUCCACUGCAGUAAAUGCUGUAAUUGUCCUUGAAGAGGAGGUGGUUAUGGAGAAGUUGGGAAACUUUACAAAUGCCUUUACAAUCCUGUUUGGCCCACUUUAUGCUUUUAACACGAACUAUCGCAAGGACCUUCAAUACACAUCUGCAGAAAGUGUUCCGGUACCUUGAAAUUACUACACUGCUAGAGUGCAAUCUCUAAAAAACGGACUAUUUCCAAAUGUAAUAUGAUUUUCUUUGUGACACUUCCAAUUAGUUUAGUCAGUUUGGGGACCUGCUUUUGAACAGAAAAAAAAAACGUCUUUGAUUACUGUUUAAAAAAGAAUUAGUUAAAUGCAAUUGACUGUUAAAUAGUCUAAAUAAGUCUCUCGAU